GGGGAGGAGAAGGAAGCAGAGGCUGGAGGGUAAAACUGAAUUCCUUGGGCUGCUCCGGGCAGUGUCACUCCUCGAAUCAGCAGGACCACCAGCAUGAGGAGUACAUGGAUGGAACCCACAAGAGGCACAGAACCAAGGAAGGAAGCCACCAUGAACUGCCGUGUCAUUCCGUCCUGUCUGGACUAGGCUAAGCCAAGCACAGCGGCCCCUGUGGAAGGCAGGCUGUCCUGGGAUGGGAGAGAGCUGGGGCUCACCAGCACAGACCUUGCCUGUGGACUUGACCCCCUUCCAGAUGCAGAAGUAGCAGAUGAUCCAGGCGAGCAGGAGACACAGGACCAGUUCCCAGCGCAGGGACCCCAGGUGCUGGAUGCCAUCCGAGAGCUUCAGGACUCGCCUCCUAAGAGAGCAGUCUUGUGGACAAGCACUACAGGAUACUUGGAUGGCGACCAAGGCAUGUAGCAAGGAGAAGCAAAACUUAGGAGCAGCCAGCACAUUCUGUGAUACCCAGCAGGGGAGCCACAAGCCCAUCCAGUGCUUAAAGAGUCCUUCACUGGCCUGAAGCUCACCAAGUAGACGAGGCUGGCCCCAGGGAUUCAUCUGCUUCUGCCUGCCUGGCACUGGGAUCACCAGCGUCCAUUACCAUGGCCGUAUUUUUCUCUUUCUUUGUGGGUAAAACGCAGGGCCUCAUUCCCACUGAAUAAGCUCUACCAUCUGAGCAGUUUCCUGGGCUCCCUAGAGGAGUCUUAAGAAUGAGGGAUGAACUAGGAAAAGGAUAAAAAGGAAACUAUAGCCGAAUCUCAAAACAAUCAUUCUGUAUGAAAGAAGCCAGAAGGAAAAAAAAAAAAGGACAUAGCUCCUCGUUCUCCUUAUAUAAAAAAGUUUUAAAAGCAGAUGAAUUCACAGUGGCAGAGCAGAGCUUUGUGACUGUACAGGGACACAGCAGCAAGGGCCAAAAGAACAAGGGGUUACCAGGAGCCAGGAGAACAUUUUUGAGGGUGAGCGAUACAUUCACUAGCUGGACAGUACAGGUACUUUUGUUGCUGUGUAUCAAGAUUCUGCAAUUUAUACAUCCUAAAUACACCAAUUCAUUGAAAGUUAAUGGAACUGCUCUCUAGUUUGUAGCUAUAGCACAAUUCAGGAACUAAACUGAAGGAAUACUCAAUUGCCCUAAAGCCAAGGAAUGAAGACUGUGAACCGUUCAGCCUAAGAGAUCCAGGCCUGAUGGGAAACUCCAGAGGACAAAGAAGCCAGUAGCUGGUGUAAAAGGUUACAGGGAAAGCCCCGGUCGUUUCGGAAAGCUGGCAGUCCGGUUCAAGCCUCCAGAUCUAUGCUGCCUGCUCUUUCCCAACAGACCAAGCCAAUGUUUAACCGUGGGCCCACGGUCAGCUCUGCCCCUCAGCACAUGAGCAAAGUCCACACUCAAAAGCCAAGAGACGCUGAGAAGGAGCCAGUGGUUAGAAGCUGAUCAAGAGAGACCUAAGCCCAGCUGAGGGAGUCCUCACGGCCAUUGCCCCUUAGGAUCUCCAUGAAUAAAAGAUGGAGUCAGGACCUAGCAUAGAGACACAUGCUUUUAAUAUCAGCACGUAGGAAGCUGAAGAAGGCAGAUUAUAAGCAUGAGGCUAACCUGGGCUACAAAGUGAGACCCUAUAGAAACAGGAAGAGACACAGGAGAAGAAAGUUACCCACGCCCUCACUUCACCCAUGUAAGUCUCCCCCAAAAUUCUAAAAUGUGCUGUCCACUUCCCGUGAGGUGGGAGGGACUGCAAAAAGAGUCCUGUAGCUAGCCAUCCCUCUCAGAAGAAGCACAACAGCCCCUCACAAAGUCAAAAGGCGACCAGCCAUGGAAACUGGGUGAAGAACCAGGAUGGGAGAAAAGCAUUUGUUAGCAAUAUGUCUGGCUGAGGAUUAAUAUUAGAAAAUACAAAGAACAAAGCAACAAGACAUCAAGCAACCUAAUCAAUAAGUUAUAAUGACGUGAGCAGACGGUUCUUGGAAGAGGAAACACAGGAAACAGUAAGCACACAGAAGAGAAUGUUCAACUUCACUAGCCAUCAAGAAGAUGCUAAUCGAUAGCACACUGGGAUCCCGCCUCGCCCCAGUCAGAACGACAGUCAUCCAAGAAACAAAUAACAAUAAAUGCUGACAAGGAUGAGGAACCUUACAUGCUGCUAGUGGGAAUUUAAACUAGUUCAGUCACGGCGGAAAUCAGUACGGAGAUCCCUCAAAAAGCUGUCUAUUAUAAUAGCUUUUCCACUUGACAUAGCUGCACUUCCCCUGAGUAUUAACCAAAAGAUACCAAGUGAGCACAUCACAGAGACACUUGCGUGUUACUGCAGCACUGCUCGUGAGAGCUAAAUUACAGAAGAAACAUAUGUGUAUAUGUAUAUAUGUGUAUAUAUACAUGAUGAAAAAUUUUCAGCUGUAAACAAGAACAUAGUUCUAUGGUUUUUCAGGAAAGCAAUGCAAUUGUAGACAAUCGCAUUAAAUGAAUUAAGCUAA